UACGUAGGGGGCUAGCGUUGUCCGGAAUCAUUGGGCGUAAAGCGCGUGUAGGCGGUUCGGUAAGUCCGCUGUGAAAGUCGGGGGCUCAACCCUCGAAUGCCGGUGGAUACUGUCGGACUAGAGUACGGAAGAGGCGAGUGGAAUUCCUGGUGUAGCGGUGGAAUGCGCAGAUAUCAGGAGGAACACCAAUAGCGAAGGCAGCUCGCUGGGACGGUACUGACGCUAAGGCGCGAAAGCGUGGGGAGCGAACAGG
rnacentral:rRNA from 1 species